AGAGUUCGAUUAUGGCUCAGAUUGAACGCUGGCGGAUGCUUUACACAUGCAAGUCGAACGGCAGCACAGACUUCGGUCUGGUGGCGAGUGGCGAACGGGUGAGUAAUGUAUCGGAACGUGCCUAGUAGCGGGGGAUAACUACGCGAAAGCGUAGCUAAUACCGCAUACGCCCUUCGGGGGAAAGCGCGGGGACCUUCGGGCCUCGCACUAUUAGAGCGGCCGAUAUCGGAUUAGCUAGUUGGUGGGGUAACGGCUCACCACAGCGACGAUCCGUAGCUGGUUUGAGAGGACGACCAGCCACACUGGGACCGAGACACGGCCCAGACUCCUACGGGAGGCAGCAGUGGGGAAUUUUGACAAUGGGGGAAACCCUGAUCCAGCCAUCCCGCGUGUGCGAUGAAGGCCUUCGGGUUGUAAAGCACUUUUGGCAGGAAAGAAACGGCACGGAUAUCACUCCCGUGCAACUGACGGUACCUGCAGAAUAAGCACCGGCUAACUGCCGCCAGCAGCCGCGGUAAUACGUAGGGUGCAAGCGUUAAUCGGAAUUACUGGGCGUAAAAGCGUGCAGGCGGUUCGGAAAGAAAGAUGUGAAAUCCCAGAGCUUAACUUUUGGAACUGCAUUUUUAACUACCGAGCUAGAGUGUGUCAGAGGGAGGUGGAAUUCCUGCGUGUAGCAGUGAAAUGGGUGCAGAUAUGCGGAGGAACACCGAUGGCGAAGGCAGCCUCCUGGGAUAACACUGACGGCCAUGCACGAAAGCGUGGGGAGCAAACAGGAUUAGAUACCCCGGUAGUCCACGCCCUAAACGAUGUCAACUAGCUGUUGGGGCCUUUUUCCGCGGCCUUGGUAGCGCAGCUAACGCGUGAAGUUGACCGCCUGGGGAGUACGGUCGCAAGAUUAAAACUCAAAGGAAUUGACGGGGGCCGCACAAGCGGUGGAUGAUGUGGAUUAAUUCCGAUGCAACGCGAAAAACCUUACCUACCCUUACAUGUCUGGAAUCCCGAAGAGAUUUGGGAGUGCUCGCAAGAGAACCGGAACACAGGUGCUGCAUGGCUGUCGUCAGCUCGUGUCGUGAGAUGUUGGGUUAAGUCCCGCAACGAGCGCAACCCUUGUCAUUAGUUGCUACGAAAGGGCACUCUAAUGAGACUGCCGGUGACAAACCGGAGGAAGGUGGGGAUGACGUCAAGUCCUCAUGGCCCUUAUGGGUAGGGCUUCACACGUCAUACAAUGGUCGGGACAGAGGGUCGCCAACCCAUGAGAGGGGGAGCCAAUCCCAGAAACCGAUCAGUCCGGAUCGCAGUCUGCAACCUUCGACUGCGUGAAGUCGGAAUCGCUAGUAAUCGCGGAUCAGCAUGUCGCAGAAUACGUUCCCGGGGUCUCCACACACACACCGCCCGUCACACCAUGGGAGUGGGUUUUACCAGAAGCAGUUAGCCUAACCGUAAGGAGGGCGAUUACCACGGUAGGAUCUGCAUGACUGGGGUGAAGUCGUAACAAGGUAG
rnacentral:rRNA from 1 species